rnacentral:sRNA from 1 species
GAUGGAAAUCCACGAAAUGCCACAUUGCCAUCCCAUAUUGUUAAUGCACGAAUUAAACAAGUACGGGUGAGUCUCAAGGGAAGGUGAAGAAUCAAUCUCUAAUUCACGAGCUGAACUCGAAGCUGGACAAUCGACGGGCUGAAGGGCUUAUGGCGAACUGAGAACGUAGUCGGUUGAGGGCGCUACGAGGCGAUGCCGUUUCGAGCUGGUGGUUCUGGCGAGCUGGCUCUUCUUGCUAAGUUGGCUUGUCUUGACGGGAUGUCUUCUCUCUACGAGCUGACUUGUAUCGAUGAGCGGACUUGUCCUGACGAGCUGAAUUGUCUUGACGAGCUGACUUGUCUUGACGAGCUGACUUGUCUUGUCCUUUCUCCAGGUCUCCCAAAAAAAAUGUCCUUUCCCGAGACUUUCUAUUCCUUAUUUAUACCCGUCCGUGUAGUAGGGUACGCAAGGUGAAUUCCCGAGAGUGCCCUUUUCUGCGCAGCCGAACUCACAUCUCGACCAGGCCGGGUUUCGGCCCGGCGGGCCGGCUCGAGUUCUAAAGUGAUGGUCGGGGCUGGGUCGAUAUUCCUUGAAAUGGGCCGGUUGAUCACUGAGGCCCAAUUGAUGUAUCAACACAUAUCUAAGAUUAUUCAACUUCAUGUGAAUGAGCAAGCACCUUUUUUCUGUUUUAUUAGACUUAGACAUUUUUAAU